rnacentral:misc_RNA from 1 species
AAGUCGUAACAAGGUUUCCGUAGGUGAACCUGCGGAAGGAUCAUUAACACGUAUCCAACGUAAAAAACCCCCCUGUGAACAUUCAAACCUGCUCUCGUAGCCCAGUGCGAUCCAGCAAUCCCGGUAAAUCAUUGUCGAACAGUAUUGAUUCGGGACUUCUGACAAAUGAGAAGUUACAGUUGGCAUCCCGAAGCAGUAAGGAUCUCGCCUCAACGAUUGCCAGAGGUCGCUCACCGACCGGCAGACAUGCAACCGGGUCCCCACGCCCCUUUACAACCCCAUUACCUCUGUGAGUCGCGGGAAACUAGCGGCUAAAAAACCUUGAACAACUGUUAACAAUGGAUAUCUUGGUUCUC